GACAGAGGGUGCAAACGUUGUUCGGAAUUACUGGGCGUAAAGCGCGUGUAGGCGGCCCGGAAAGUCGGAUGUGAAAGCCCUGGGCUUAACCUAGGAAGUGCAUUCGAAACUGCUGGGCUUGAGUUCUGGAGAGGAAGGCGGAAUUCUCGGUGUAGAGGUGAAAUUCGUAGAUAUCGAGAGGAACACCGGUGGCGAAGGCGGCCUUCUGGACAGUGACUGACGCUGAGACGCGAAAGCGUUGGGAGCAAACAGG
rnacentral:rRNA from 1 species